rnacentral:tRNA from 1 species
GGGCAGGUACUCAAGUGGUCAACGAGGUCAGACUGUAAAUCUGAUGCGGAUCGCUUCGGGGGUUCGAAUCCUCCCCUGCCCACCA